rnacentral:rRNA from 1 species
GACGAACUUUGGCGGCGUGCUUAACACAUGCAAGUCGAACGGUAAGGCUCCAGCUUGCUGGGGUACACGAGUGGCGAACGGGUGAGUAACACGUGGGUGACCUGCCCUGCACUUCGGGAUAAGCCUGGGAAACUGGGUCUAAUACCGGAUAGGACCGCACCGUGAGGGUGUGGUGGAAAGUUUUUUCGGUGUGGGAUGGGCCCGCGGCCUAUCAGCUUGUUGGUGGGGUAAUGGCCUACCAAGGCGGCGACGGGUAGCCGGCCUGAGAGGGUGGACGGCCACAUUGGGACUGAGACACGGCCCAGACUCCUACGGGAGGCAGCAGUGGGGAAUAUUGCACAAUGGGCGGAAGCCUGAUGCAGCGACGCCGCGUGGGGGAUGACGGCCUUCGGGUUGUAAACUCCUUUCACCAUCGACGAAGGGUUUCUGACGGUAGAUGGAGAAGAAGCACCGGCUAACUACGUGCCAGCAGCCGCGGUAAUACGUAGGGUGCGAGCGUUGUCCGGAAUUACUGGGCGUAAAGAGCUCGUAGGUGGUUUGUCGCGUCGUCUGUGAAAUUCCGGGGCUUAACUCCGGGCGUGCAGGCGAUACGGGCAUAACUUGAGUACUGUAGGGGAGACUGGAAUUCCUGGUGUAGCGGUGAAAUGCGCAGAUAUCAGGAGGAACACCGGUGGCGAAGGCGGGUCUCUGGGCAGUAACUGACGCUGAGGAGCGAAAGCAUGGGGAGCGAACAGGAUUAGAUACCCUGGUAGUCCAUGCCGUAAACGGUGGGCGCUAGGUGUGGGUUUCCUUCCACGGGAUCCGUGCCGUAGCUAACGCAUUAAGCGCCCCGCCUGGGGAGUACGGCCGCAAGGCUAAAACUCAAAGGAAUUGACGGGGGCCCGCACAAGCGGCGGAGCAUGUGGAUUAAUUCGAUGCAACGCGAAGAACCUUACCUGGGCUUGACAUAUACAGGAUCGCGCCAGAGAUGGUGUUUCCCUUGUGGCUUGUAUACAGGUGGUGCAUGGUUGUCGUCAGCUCGUGUCGUGAGAUGUUGGGUUAAGUCCCGCAACGAGCGCAACCCUUGUCUUAUGUUGCCAGCACGUUGUGGUGGGGACUCGUAAGAAACUGCCGGGGUUAACUCGGAGGAAGGUGGGGAUGACGUCAAAUCAUCAUGCCCCUUAUGUCCAGGGCUUCACACAUGCUACAAUGGUCGGUACAGUGGGUUGCCAGUCCGUGAGGGCGAGCUAAUCCCGCAAAGCCGGUCUCAGUUCGGAUCGGGGUCUGCAACUCGACCCCGUGAAGUCGGAGUCGCUAGUAAUCGCAGAUCAGCAACGCUGCGGUGAAUACGUUCCCGGGCCU